rnacentral:miRNA from 1 species
ACAGGCUGGGCAGUAUGGUUAGAGAUCUUUGGAUUAGAGGCCGGGGAGAAGGGUUAGAGAUAUUUGGGUUACAGGCUAGGCAGUAUGGUUAGAGAUCUUUGGACUAGAGGCCUUCUCCCCGGCCUCUAAUCCAAAGAUCUCUAACCAUACUGCCUAUUAUUU